AUAGCAAGGUAAUUAUUUUCGGAGACUAAGUAGGUAACCGAACAUAUUUUAGAGAAUGGAUGGUUUCGUAAUGCAGUCGGGUUGACAGAAUUAGACUGGGUUUGUUAACUUUUUCUGAACAACACAAAGUAUUCAUAUCUUAUUUUUUAAACGGUAUAAAAGUAGAUGGAACGGGGCAAUAUUCAAUUGGAUUAUGUAUGGAAGAGUUUAGAGAAGAAUUCCCUGACUGACAUACAUUUGUAUAUGAAUUACGUCCAAUUGAUUUUCUUCAAAUAUUUCAAUACUGUCAAUGGUUUCCAAUAGAUUCGGAUGACCAUUUCGAAAAAACGGUUGACAUGAAGAAGCAUAGAUGUUCCUCAGCUAAAAAGCAAAAUUGAACACUUCGCUAAAUAGAGGUAUGACGUUAUGCAGUAAUAAAACAGCGUGAACCUAGCAUCACCAUUGGUUAGACAACAUCUGGCUUGUGGCCCCAAUAGAUUCAAGUAAGCUUUAGAACGGGCUGUUCAAGCGCCUUCACGUGAUCACUGCAAAUGUUGGGCGAUUGUAGUAUA